rnacentral:misc_RNA from 1 species
AAAUGAAAGAUAGGUAUUGAGUAUUAAACAACUGAUAUAAUUUACAAGAAAUCCAAUUUCAGUCAAAAUUGGAUUCAGUUCUUUCUUUUUUUUCUUCUUUUUUUGCUUUAAAAACAUUCAUGGCUUAGCUUAAGAAAUUGCAAGAUGUACUUGCACCUCCAGCCAAAAUUGGAUUCCAGCUCUCUUUUUUCUUUAUUCCAUUUUUUUUGUCCUGCAUCUUUUACAUAGCUCCAAUGCUCUUCAUGUAAAGGAGUAUAUGAUGUCUUUCGAGCUACAGCAAUCUGGUUCUUCGAGCUCCAGCAAUCUGGUCACUGCACAUUUCUUCAUGUGCUCUCAGUUGUUUUCCGCAAAGAAGUAAAAUUGAACCUAAUGAGCGGC